rnacentral:rRNA from 1 species
UUUCAAUGGCGGCUUCUAUACUGCAAGUCGAGCGGACAGAUGGGAGCUUGCUCCCUGAUGUUAGCGGCGGACGGGUGAGUAACACGUGGGUAACCUGCCUGUAAGACUGGGAUAACUCCGGGAAACCGGGGCUAAUACCGGAUGGUUGUUUGAACCGCAUGGUUCAAACAUAAAAGGUGGCUUCGGCUACCACUUACAGAUGGACCCGCGGCGCAUUAGCUAGUUGGUGAGGUAACGGCUCACCAAGGCAACGAUGCGUAGCCGACCUGAGAGGGUGAUCGGCCACACUGGGACUGAGACACGGCCCAGACUCCUACGGGAGGCAGCAGUAGGGAAUCUUCCGCAAUGGACGAAAGUCUGACGGAGCAACGCCGCGUGAGUGAUGAAGGUUUUCGGAUCGUAAAGCUCUGUUGUUAGGGAAGAACAAGUACCGUUCGAAUAGGGCGGUACCUUGACGGUACCUAACCAGAAAGCCACGGCUAACUACGUGCCAGCAGCCGCGGUAAUACGUAGGUGGCAAGCGUUGUCCGGAAUUAUUGGGCGUAAAGGGCUCGCAGGCGGUUUCUUAAGUCUGAUGUGAAAGCCCCCGGCUCAACCGGGGAGGGUCAUUGGAAACUGGGGAACUUGAGUGCAGAAGAGGAGAGUGGAAUUCCACGUGUAGCGGUGAAAUGCGUAGAGAUGUGGAGGAACACCAGUGGCGAAGGCGACUCUCUGGUCUGUAACUGACGCUGAGGAGCGAAAGCGUGGGGGAGCGAACAGGAUUAGAUACCCUG